CCGCGGUCCCGGAUCCUGCAACUUCUACCUCAUUUUCUCCAGGCCUCUCCACUUGCCCGAGCUCUCAGCCACCAGGAGACAGACGGAAGGGGCUUCUGGAUUGCGUUGGGAGCGGGCACUGUCCCCUACCCACUCCUGCUCAGUUUCCCAAAGUCCAGCGACUUCCGACCCUCCUUGGGGGGAAAAAUACCAGUACCCAGACACCUUUGCACCCUGUUAUAUGACUGGGCUUGCUUCAGGAAUAUCUUACAAAGAAGAAGAAGAAGAAAGAACGGCUUGGAGUCAUGUUUACAUCUAGUUCUACUGAUCCGUUCACAUCUGGAGAGUUUAUUUAUAACUCCCUCUAUAACUCUCUGUUUGGAGACACUGUGGCUCUAUUGACAGACUGAUAUCUAGGAAAUAUUGCUCUAUGUCUAACCGUACCUAAAUGUGCUGUGGUUGUAUUUACAGAUUUAUGUUUGAGGGAAAUAUAACUAUUUCCAUUGUAUUUGUGCAUAUACAGUAGUUAUAGGAGCAGAUUUAUAUAUGGGAAAAUAUACGACUCUCUUACAGC
rnacentral:lncRNA from 10 species